rnacentral:rRNA from 1 species
GGCGCAGCAGUGAGGAAUAUUGGUCAAUGGGCGGAAGCCUGAACCAGCCAAGUCGCGUGAGGGAAUAAGGCCCUACGGGUCGUAAACCUCUUUUGCCGGGGAGCAAGGGCCGGGACGCGUCCCGGCCCGGAGAGUACCCGGAGAGAAAGCAUCGGCUAACUCCGUGCCAGCAGCCGCGGUAAUACGGAGGAUGCGAGCGUUAUCCGGAUUUAUUGGGUUAAAAGGGUGCGUAGGCGGGCUUUUAAGUCAGCGGAAAAAAUUCGGGGCUCAACCCCGGCCGGCCGUUGAAACUGGGGGACUUGAGG